rnacentral:lncRNA from 1 species
UGUAACAAAGUUUAUAAGAAAUUAUUUAUUCACAGUUUUGCGUUGAACAGGAUAUGUAAUUGAAGAAGGGGAAGUUUUAAUGUCUGUAUACUUAUGUCUAUUUUUUUCUUUCAUAGGAAGGUAUGGACUCCCAUGCUUUUGUGAUGUGUGUAUGUAUUCUCCAACAUGUGUGAUGUUAGUGCGCGGGAUAAUAUUCCGGGGUUGGUAGAUUACCCUGCCAUACUUUAGGCAACCUAACAUCCUGGUCUCUGUUCUGUCCAGUGUUCAGAGGGCUAUCUGUGUGCAGACACUGUGUUUCCAUGUUUUUAGCUGUAAAGUGGGUUUCCAUCUCACACGAUGUAAUUACAGACAUUACUCUAUCCAGAAAAUGCAAAAAUGUAAAUUCUCUUUCAAAAGAAGUCAUAGCUCUGGAUUGUGUGGUGUUCUUACAAACUGGGUUUGUUUUUUCCUUGUCACAUUAGAUCGUAACAAUUUGUUUAGUUAGUUUGUUCUUUAUAUACUGUUGACCUCAUAAUUUAUGCAAUCUCUGUAAUUUCUUAAUGCAGUAAAAUUAUCACACAAACUGGC